rnacentral:rRNA from 1 species
GGGUCAGUAGGUUGGUCGUGCCACCGGUACGUACUGGUCUCACUGAUUCCUCCUUCCUGAAGAACCGUAAUGCCAUUAAUUUGGUGUUGCGGGGAAACAGGACUGUUACUUUGAGAAAACUAGAGUGUUUAAAGCAAGCUAACGCUUGAAUACAUUAGCAUGGAAUGAUGAAAUAGGACGAUCGAUCCUAUUUUGUUGGUUUCUAGGAUUGACGUA